rnacentral:misc_RNA from 1 species
AAAUUAUUUAAAAAAAUAAUAAUAAUUAAAGCGAAGUGAAUUACUUUUUCUUGUUCUUUACAUGUUACCACCAUUAAUUUUUUUUAAUUUUUUAAAAUAAAUUUCACAUAUUAAUAUAUUAGUGGCCUGCACACUAACUGGGAAUUCUAAUUGGUAUAGCUGGGUAAUUUUAUAAUUUCUCCACAUCCUUAAAUAAAUGUUCAUAUCUAGUAUAUAUUAGUUACAGGAACGUGCCAAUUGAAUUAUGUAAAUGGUCUUAUAUUUGGCCGGCUUAGAGAGGUGGUCAAAGUCAUCCAACGAUAUUAUAUGGUCCUGAGGCUUUAAAGAAAUUCGGAUCGAUCAUUGGAUGGAUGUAUGUUCAUGGGUUGAAUAUUUAUCCUUGCU